AGCUGCUACUUCGGGACAGGAAUAAAAAGGACCUAGCUUGGAGGCACAUAAGUGAGGAGAUCGGGCAACCUGAGUCAACUGAUUAUGCAGCAGAGCCAUCCCCUGAUGCUUCUUCUGGCUCCCCAGUCCCUGGUCCCUCCACUCCUGCUGCUGCACCCACAGGCCCACAGAGGAGGACAGCUCAAAAGCGGUCGAGGGACGGGUCCCAGGAUGGUCCAUCGGCGGUGGAGCUGGCCAUCCUGGAGUCACUGAAGAGGCCACGCCCGUCUCCAACGGAGUAUUUCCUCCUUGGCCUUGCUCCUGCUCUGGAGAGCCUGCCGCCUCAGAC